UUAAACCAAAUUGAAUUUAUCGAGCAAGUAGCAGACUCUAAGAUUCUUUAAUUUUAUUUGUAUCGAGAUUUAACUGACCCAAUUAGCCUCUGAAAUGAAACUGAAGACGAAUGGAUGCGGGUGAAUGCGCGCGCGCAUGCUUGCAGGAUAUCCGCGGAUGCAGGAGGCAGCCGGCUGGGAGGAUGACGGCGAGCGCGCAAGAGCGAGAAGUCGGUAACUUAACUGGCCUAAAUGGGUUUAACUCGAUGUGAUUUUGCUGGCGAACCACUAAAUUGAACGAAUACGAACUAAACUGAACUCAACUAAGCUAAUCAUAUCACAUUACUAGCGUUAUUAGCCGAGAGACGAUAUAAGUGAAGGUCCGGUGGUACCAGGCUGCAGUAACGGGUCGCCUCCUGCACUGACCCUCUGUACGACUUUCUUUUCGACCUCUUUUUCUCGAUCAUAAUGUUCGUGUCUUGUAUUUAUUCGAUCUUUGAAUUACGGAAAUGUGUUUACGGUCAAGUUUUAUCGCAAUUCGAUUCCAAAACAACUUUUAGGUUAGUUCUUAUGAAAGUUGGAUGCAAGUUGAAGUUUCUUGAACGAAAUGGACAAUUCUUGAUGCACACGAGGUCUGGGAAACGAUGUUGGCCGAUCCUGGCCGAACAGAAACGCUAUCAUGGUCGUGAAACAGGAAACACGUGCUCUGAGUGAAAGUGACAGAUCACCGCGCGCCAAAUUCGAAAUAAAGAUCAAAGAAUCAUAUACGAUUUUCGAUUUAUAGUGUCAUUCGUGGAUAAUAAAAUGUAACAUUUUAAAAAAAAUGUGCGAUGGAAAGAAUUUUUUCUUAUUGAGAAUUUUAUAUAGUGAAAUAUAUAUGUGAAUAAGUGAUAUAGUUUCUUCAAAAGGAAUUUGAUUUGUUUUUUUGGUAUGCCGACCGGAUAGUAUUGCCGUGUGGCCAGGCUGACAGGGCCGACCAAUUGAGCCUGUUAACGUCAAUUGGUCUAAAUUAGUUCAAUUGGACGUAAUUGCGCGAAUACGACGGGGAACCUCCGCUCUCUGUUUGCCAGCCAUGCUUGCGUUUCUCUCCUCACGCUGAUAUCGCCGUAUUCUCGGGACUUCCUCCAGGAUCUGGAUACGGCCACGUGGGUUCAAUGUAUGCAACAGGUGCAUUUGACCCGCGUGAGACACCUGUGGAAUAGAUAUAUAUAUAUAUAUAUGUAUAGAUUAAAAGAGAAGUGAAAAAUUGGAAGAAAAGAGAAAAAUGGAAUGAUUGGAUUGAUUAUUUAAUACAAUAAUGAAUAAGAGAUUUAAGCUUAUUUAAUUACGGUUAUUAAAAAAAAUUAUAAAGCAAAAAAUUAGUCAAGGGAAUAGAAUUAAUGGCGUUGAGUGAUAUGUAAAGAAUGUAGAAUUAUGUAUAAUUAAAUUAAGUGGUUGAAGAGGGUAAGAUUUGAAGAAUUGAAGGGUGAAGAACGAGCUAAAUUAGAUUAUUAAUAAAUGGGAUGAAGAUAUUAUAAAGGGUCGAAUUUGAAAGUUAAGGGGAAUGAAAUAUAUACUGUAUGAAAUUGAUUGGAUUAUUAAUUAUAAGAUUUAAAAAGAUUCGGAAAUCGUGAUUCAAAGGAGAAAAUGUAACAUCGCAGCCCGAUGACGUCGCAUCCUUAUUAACCCGACGUGGUCACAUCCGUCGUCAUCCCGUUCUGUAUUCACGUGCAGGGUGUUUCUCGUAAUGAUAUCUUCAUUUAUGUAUUGAAACUAUCCUAUAAAAUUCUAUCAAAUUAUGUAUUUCAUGUAUUAAAAUUUUCUAAUAUAAUGGUACAUAUGAUA
rnacentral:lncRNA from 1 species